UAAUAAGUACUGUAGAGAUGUUAAGAGAAUUAGUUAUAUAUUUUUUUCCUUUUGCAUAAUGAUUAAACAAAAUUUUAUUAAAUAAUUAAACCCGAAAUUAGAGGAUCUAAUUUUUUUUAUAAUAUUAGGAAAAAUAACUUAAUGUUUCAUAAUUUUUUAACAAAAUUAAAUUAGUGGUGAAAGGCUUAACAAAUCUAAUAAUAUCUGGAAUGAUUUUAAAUGUAUUUAGUACAGAAUUAGUUUUGAUUAAAAUAAUGUUAAGAUUUUUUUAUCAAAUAGAAUAUUUAGUAACUAUAAUUUAUAGAUUAAACUUUUAAUAAAUAAUUAUUAUAUUGAUUUUUAAAUAAAAAUAUAUCUAUAAAAUAUAAGGUCAUAUCAAUAAAAUUAUAUAAAAGAGUAACUAUGUUUAAAUAAGUAUAAAUAAUUAUUUUAAUGAAAGGAACUCGGCAAAUGUAUUAUUCAACUGUUUAUCAAAAACAUAGUCUUAUGAAAAUAAUAAUAUAAGAUUAAACCUGCCCAGUGAGCAUUUUAACGGCCGCAGUACUUUGACUGUGCUAAGGUAGCAUAAUAAUUUGACUCUUAAUUGGGGCCUUGAAUGAAAGGAUUAAUGAAAUAAUUUCUGUCUUUUAUUAAUUAAUUAAAAAUUACUUAGAAGGUGAAAAUUCCUUUAGGUUAUACUAUAGACGAGAAGACCCUAGGAGUUU
rnacentral:rRNA from 1 species